GAGAAAGUAUGCAAGAACUGCUAACUCAUGCUUCCAUACCUAAAAAUAUGGCUUCCUCA
rnacentral:tRNA from 1 species